CCUACGGGAGGCAGCAGUGAGGAAUAUUGGUCAAUGGGCGCGAGCCUGAACCAGCCAAGUAGCGUGAAGGAUGACUGCCCUACGGGUUGUAAACUUCUUUUAUGAAGGAAUAAAGUGAGGCACGUGUGCCUUUUUGUAUGUACUUUAUGAAUAAGGAUCGGCUAACUCCGUGCCAGCAGCCGCGGUAAUACGGAGGAUCCGAGCGUUAGCCGGAUUUAUUGGGUUUAAAGGGAGCGUAGAUGGGUUGUUAAGUCAGUUGUGAAAGUUUGCGGCUCAACCGUAAAAUUGCAAUUGAUACUGGCAGGCUUGAGUACAGUAGAGGUAGGCAGAAUUCGUGGUGUAGCGGUGAAAUGCGUAGAUAUCACGAAGAAUUCCGAUGGCGAAGGCAGCUUACUAAACGGCCACUGACAUUGAUGCGCGAAAGUGUGGGUAGCAAACAGGAUUAGAUACCCCGGUAGUC
rnacentral:rRNA from 1 species